rnacentral:rRNA from 1 species
ACAGGGAUCCCCUAGUAACGGCGAGUGAAGCGGGAACAGCUCAAAUUUGAAAUCUGGCCCUCGGGUCCGAGUUGUAAUUUGUAGAGGAUGCUUUUGGUGCGGUGCCUUCCGAGUUCCCUGGAACGGGACGCCUUAGAGGGUGAGAGCCCCGUACGGUUGGACGCCUAGCCUCUGUAAAGCUCCUUCGACGAGUCGAGUAGUUUGGGAAUGCUGCUCUAAAUGGGAGGUAUAUUUCUUCUAAAGCUAAAUACUGGCCAGAGACCGAUAGCGCACAAGUAGAGUGAUCGAAAGAUGAAAAGCACUUUGAAAAGAGGGUUAAAUAGCACGUGAAAUUGUUGAAAGGGAAGCGUUUAUCACCAGACUUUUUCUAGGGGGAUCAUCCGGUGUUCUCACCGGUGCACUUCCCCUAGUUGAGGCCAGCAUCGGUUUUCGGAGGGGGAUAAAAGUUUCGGGAAUGUGACUCCCCCGGGAGUGUUAUAGCCCGUUACAUAAUACCCUUCUGGGGACCGAGGUUCGCGCAUCUGCAAGGAUGCUGGCAUAAUGGUGAUCAACGACCCGUCUUGAAACACGGACCAAGGAGUCGAACAUUUAUGCGAGUGUUUGGGUGUCAAACCCUCACGCGUAAUGAAAGUGAACGGAGGUGAGAGCCCUUACGGGUGCAUCAUCGACCGAUCCUGAUGUCUUCGGAUGGAUUUGAGUAAGAGCAUAACUGUUCGGACCCGAAAGAUGGUGAACUAUGCGUGGAUAGGGUGAAGCCAGGAGAAAUCCUGGUGGAGGCUCGCAGCGGUUCUGACGUGCAAAUCGAUCGUCAAAUCUGCGCAUGGGGCGAAAGACUAAUCGA